rnacentral:lncRNA from 1 species
UCAGACAGUGUAAAGGACCUUUAAACGAGUGAUUCUGAAUAGAUGAAGAGAAGACAGCUUGUGCCUCAAGUCCUGAUGAGAUUUUUGGGUCCUCCUGGACCCUGUCAGAAUUCCCUUGACGGAGUGCAAUUGCAUGGUGACGUUUCUCUAUGGGAACUCUGGCUAAAUCAUUCCCUGGAGACUGUGCUCAAACAGGGACAUGUUUACAAGUCUGCUGCUGAUCAUACAAGAUAUUCCUGGAUUAUGGGAUAUGCUGGCUUUACAGCUAUAGAGAAUGUCAUGUGUGAAGGAGCCCAUCUUUUAUCUGAAACAUGGACUACUGAGAUAAUAGCAGCUGCACUUUUAUCCUGACCGCACAACAAAAGCUCUCAUUUUCGAGGAGAAAGUCAGACCAAGGGCAAACCUGUAUUUCAGCACUUCUGGACACUGCUAAAAUGCUGAUGCUGCCCCAAUUUCAUUAACAGGGAAGUGAAACAGUGCGUGGGAAAACUUCACAGUCGGAAAAGUUUAUUUUAGUCUAUUUUAAAUUUAGUUUAAAAAUUACUAAAAAGUUACUAAAACUUUGAACAAAUUUCUCUAAAACAAAACCAAGAUGACAAAAGCAGUCAGAAAUCACACAUGCCUCGGAGAGGUUACAUUAGCCCGGGUAAGUCUGCGUUGCCUGCGGGGCAUAACCUCGAAUAGAAAGGUGACAACAUACAGCUGCAGGACAACAGCAGUUUAAACCAGCGCAGACACUUCCGCAAUCAGCAUCUGAACAUGCUUAAUCUUACCUCCAGUUACCUGUGUGUAACUCAAACAUUAUCCUAACGUGCAAUAGGACAGAGGAUCCCAAACGCGCCCGGCUGCGUGGCUCAGCCGGCUGGCAGUCGUCUCAGCUCAAGCACAUGGCGUGUGCGAGCCCUGCGUUGAAUCAGGGCGACCCUUUAUUUGGAAGACAUUUGGGUGCACGUUUGUACCGGAGCUCUCCACCUCCACGAUCUGCCAGGUGGCUUCAGCAGAUGCCGCAGCAGAAAUGACCGGGGAUCCUUGGACUGCGCGCGCACAUUCCAAUCUUCUCAAAAUAAGUCCUCUCUCGUACACCACAAUAUAAUAACGGACACUGGCCCUUGCUCAGCCUCAUUUAAUGACCCCAGACUGAGUUAUUAAUUCAUGCAGUGCCUAGAGAUCUCGUGUGGAGACUUGUUUUACCACAGGGCACUGGGGAAUGAAAACAGCAGUAAAGGUCCAGCUUUUAACCCCUCCAUUUACAAAGCCCCAUGAUAUUAUUGCUUCCAUGAUCAAUUUAAAUGAACAGGUUGGAAGUUUGCUAGCACCCUUCCUAUAUUUCAUGCCUCAGAAUGUAUUUUUU